rnacentral:lncRNA from 1 species
AAAGUUGCUCAAACAACUUUAAUCAAUCAAUUAGAAAACAUAUAAUUCAAAAAAUACUUACAAUGUAUUUAAAUUUGAAUUUGAAUAUGAAAUUUGAAUGCGAGACGGAAUCUACGGAAAGACGGACUGAUGGAGAAAAUACAAAGAAGAUCUGAAAUUUGAAUCUAGAAAUACAGAGGAGAGACAAACUUUUAUAUGUUUUGAAAGGGGUAUAAUGAUCAUAUUAUUACAAAUUUUUUGUUAGUUGAUUAAAUAAUCAACACUUUUUAAAAAUAAGGUACAGGUUAGAAGGUGGCAUAAAAAUAGAUUACGCUGCAAAUCCCCCGCUGUUAUUGCUUAUGACCCAAUACAUACCUCAGUAGGGGUGUUCAUCGGGCGAAUUGGGCGAUUUUCUCUUAACGGUUUGGCUUAACGGUUAUCGGCUUUUAUAUGUAUUAAUCCGUUAGCCACCCGAUAAGAUAUCGGGCACAUUGGUAUCAGGUUAGCUCUUAUAGGGCGGUUAUUGGGCGGCUUAUCGGCCUAACAUACAUGUUUACUAAAUAUCUCUUAUUAUCCUCGUCUUAGAAAUAAUGAAUUGCCAUAAAAAAAUAAUAUUUUAGAGGCAAUAUGAUGUAGCUAAUGAAACAAUC